rnacentral:rRNA from 1 species
UAAAAGCUUGGUCCUGACUUUACUAUCAGCUUUAGCAACACUUACACAUGCAAGUAUCCGCACCCCGGUGAAUACGUCCCCGCCUUCCUCUAUGAAGGCUAGGAACUGGUAUCAGGCACGCAAAUCAGCAGCCCACGACACCUUGCUCAGCCACACCCCCAAGGGAUUUCAGCAGUGAUAAACAUUAAGCAAUAAGUGAAAACUUGACUUAGUCUAAGGCUAAAAGAGCCGGUCAAAUUCGUGCCAGCCACCGCGGUUAUACGAAAGGCUCAAGUUGAUAAUCUUCGGCGUAAAGAGUGGUUAAAAGACAUCUUAAACUAAGGCUGAACCACCCCAAAGCUGUCAUACGCUACUGGGAGUGUGAAAUACAACCACGAAGGUGGCCUUAAAUAAUCUUGACCCCACGAAAGCUGUGAAACAAACUGGGAUUAGAUACCCCACUAUG